rnacentral:rRNA from 1 species
UACGUAGGGGGCUAGCGUUGUCCGGAAUCAUUGGGCGUAAAGAGCGUGUAGGCGGCCCGGUAAGUCCGCUGUGAAAGUCGGGGGCUCAACCCUCGAAUGCCGGUGGAUACUGUCGGGCUAGAGUGCGGAAGAGGCGAGUGGAAUCCUGGUGUAGCGGUGAAAUGCGCAGAUAUCAGGAGGAACACCGAUGCGAAGGCAGCUCGCUGGGACGUCACUGACGCUGAGACGCGAAAGCGUGGGGAGCAAACAGGAUUGAGAUACCCCAG